UACGGGGGGGGCAAGCGUUGUUCGGAAUUACUGGGCGUAAAGGGCUCGUAGGUGGCCAACUAAGUCAGACGUGAAAUCCCUCGGCUUAACCGGGGAACUGCGUCUGAUACUGGAUGGCUUGAGUUCGGGAGAGGGAUGCGGAAUUCCAGGUGUAGCGGUGAAAUGCGUAGAGAUCCGGAGGAACCCCAGAGGCGAAGGCGGCGCCCUGGCUCGCAACUGACGCUCAGACACGACAGCAUGGGGAGCGAACAGG
rnacentral:rRNA from 1 species